UUAGGUUGCUGACGGGAUUGACACAAGGUGUUGUAGAAUUUGGGUAUACGGAUUCCAAAGCUCAUGGGCUCAAGAGAAAACCAUCCUCCUGUAAAGAAUGUGGGGGAAAAGAUAAAAGACAACUGGUUGACCAUGGCGUCCAUCUGGGAAGCUCACCCAGAAAGGGCUUCUUUUUUUUUUUUAAACUGAGCUACAUCAAAGUGUUUUACGGGGAACCUGCGUGACACCGAGGGAUACCACCUCUGAAGCAGCAUUUGGACACUUGACUCAUCCCAUUCAUCACCUGAUUGUCCCAGAGCUUUUACUCCUGUUCUAAGGAGCAAGGAUCGAUGUGGCUGCCUGGAGGUGUCAUGACAGAGGAUACACGUGAGCAUCCUGUUUUUAUAGCGUUUUUUACAUUCAGCAUUCACUUUUUAUCUGUAAUUACAUUGCAGCAAGGUUUGAAGAUGGAGUCUCUCACUUGGUCUUCUGAUGAGGAGUUAAAACGAUGCUGAGCGCAGAGGGCUGCAUGUUGCAAGCUAGUUACACCAAACCAGCACCAUGUUGCUUCUCAGCAGCUCACGCCGCCACCAUGUGAAUAAGCAGGGGUUAAUCCAGGAUACUCAGCACAAAUCUGGCAGAUACACAUCCUGCAUGUGUGAGGACAAUAAUCAGACUUUAGGGAGCUAGCUGACUUCACGGCUCAGAGGAGAUGAACACGUGAAAACUUGAAGAUAUGCAAAAGAGGAGGUUGAAAUGUUCUGUCGGCGUCUCCUGUCCUGCCUGCUGGUGAAAACAAACAUUGGUGACAGCUCCUUCCAAAGGUUCAGCCCAUCAACAUGUAUCACUUUGGCUUGAUUUGCAUCGCUUUUAAAAUAACACCUGAUCAUAUUUGCCUUUUGGAUUCAUGAGCGUGACUUAUUGGUGUUGUCUCUGGCUGUUGUUUUGUGUCAUGUCAGUCAGUUGGUUUUUGUAACUGCCGAGAUCUAAUCUCUCUCUCCUUUCUGUAUGAGGGUCGUCCGCAUGGUGCAAAAUGAGAAA